GAUGAACGCUGGCGGCGUGCCUAAUACAUGCAAGUCGAGCGAACGGACGAGGAGCUUGCUUUUCUGAUGUUAGCGGCGGACGGGUGAGUAACACGUGGAUAACCUCCCUAUAAGUCUGGGAUAACUUCGGGAAACCGGAGCUAAUACCGGAUAAUAUCUUGCACCGCAUGGGUCAAUGGUGAAAGACGGUCUUGCGGUCACUUAUAGAUGGAUCCCGGCUGCAUUAGCUAGUUGGUAAGGUAACGGCUUACCAAGGCAACGAUGCAUAGCCGACCUGAGAGGGGGAUCGCCCACAUUGGAGCGGAGACACGGUCCAGACUCCUACGGGAGGCAGCAGUAGGGAAUCUUCCGCAAUGGGCGAAAGCAUGACGGAGCAACGCCGCGUGAGUGAUGAAGGUCUUCGGAUCGUAAAACUCUGUUAUUAGGGAAGAACAUAUGUGUAAGUAACUGUGCACAUCGUGACGGUACCUAAUCAGAAAGCCGCGGCUAACUACGUG
rnacentral:rRNA from 1 species